UCUGGUGGUCAUAGUGCUGGUGUCCCACCCGUUCCCAUCCCGAACACGGUCGUGAAACCCACGCACGCCGACGAUACUCGCGGGGUAACCUGCCGGGAAAAUAGGUCGCC
rnacentral:rRNA from 1 species